CUCUUGCAGAGAUCUCAAAGUCGCUCAAAGAUCGCAAUCUUCGAAACAAGCAAAAAACUUGAGAUUCCCGCCCUGUCAACGUCAGGCCAGGAAUUAUCCAGCGGCGUCGGCCGGGCAGAAGCCGAGGUAUCACUUGUUAUAAAAGAAGCAGCCGCAAACUUUCCAGAAAACUCGCUACCAGAGACGCGAUCGCGAUCGGAAUCGAGAUCGGGAACACUUGAGGAGACGUUAGAGCUUGGUGUAAGCCUUAUAGUCGGUAGACUCGGUCUCUUUCAAGUUAAAGGUGCAGUUCAGACGUGUCAGUCGAGUGAGGGACAAUUGUCUCGAGUUAUUAUCUAGUUCCUAAACCGGAUGGAUCCAACACCUCACUCCCAGGCUGGGGAGCUUUCUGCAAAAGUACAAACGAGAGAACGCACGGUCACUGGUCGUCGCAAGAGAAAGCUCG